rnacentral:sRNA from 1 species
AAGAUCUAGUUAAUUACUCUAGAUCUAGCAUUAGGUAUAAUCAAAGAUGAUGAAUUCUACAGAUAACCUAGCAAAGGGGGCAAUCUACUAAACCAUAUGAAUCCCUAAUGAGAAACCCUAUUCCUAACAAGCAGAUUACUCAGACAUAUUGAUUGUAACAAA